rnacentral:rRNA from 1 species
GAUGAACGCUGGCGGCGUGCCUAAUACAUGCAAGUCGAGCGAACAGACGAGGAGCUUGCUCCUCUGACGUUAGCGGCGCACGGGUGAGUAACACGUGGAUAACCUACCUAUAAGACUGGGAUAACUUCGGGAAACCGGCGCUAAUACCGGAUAAUAUAUUGAACCGCAUGGUUCAAUAGUGAAAGACGGUUUUGCUGUCACUUAUAGAUGGAUACGCGCCUCAUUAGCUAGUUGGUAAGGUAACGGCUUACCAAGGCGACGAGGCGUAGCCGACCUGAGAGGGUGAUCGGCCACACGGGAGCUGAGACACGGUCAAGACUCCUGCGGGAGGCAGCAGUAGGGAACCUGCCGCAAUGGGGGGAAGCCUGACGGAGCAACGCCACGUGAGUGACGAAGGUCUUGGGGGCGUAAAACUCUGUUAUUAGGGAAAAACAAAUGUGUAAGUAACUAUGCACGUAUUGACGGUACCUAAUAAGAAAGCCACGGCUAACUACGUG